rnacentral:lncRNA from 1 species
GGGGAGAUCCUUGGACUCUCCUAGAUGAUAUGCAAGAGUCAGGAACAAUUCUAGGAAGACAGCAGGGAGAAUAUCCUAAGCAGGCACCAAGAGUUGGGAGUCCUAUCCAAACAUGGGAUGAUGAGACUCACGUGCGAACCAGAAGGGGUGUGUGCAAGAUGAGAUGGGAGACAGGAGGCAGCCUGAUAGUUUUUCAUCUUUGCUUUUCUCCCCAAGCUUGAGUCACAACCAGAUCGGAGAUGUGGGUACCCAGUGCUUAGCUGCCAUCUUGCCAAAACUGCCAGAACUCAGGAAAUUUGACUUGAGUCACAACCAGAUCGGAGAUGUGGGUACCCAGUGCUUAGCUGCCAUCUUGCCAAAACUUCCAGAACUCAGGAAAUUUAAUUUUUCAUCUUUGCUUUUCUCCCCCAAGCUUGAGUCACAACCAGAUCGGACAUGUGGGUACCCAGUGCUUAGCUGCCAUCUUGCCAAAACUUCCAGAACUCAGGAAAUUUGACUUGAGUCGCAACCAGAUCGGAGAUGUGGGUACCCAGUGCUUAGCUGCCAUCUUGCCAAAACUUCCAGAACUCAGGAAGUUUGACCUCUCAGGGAACAGGAUUGGCCCAGCUGGGGGAGUGCAGCUGGUGAAGUCUCUCACCCAUUUCGAGCACUUGGAGGAGAUCAAGUGAGUCUCUAUCCAGGUGGGAUCCCCCUGGACCUCUUGUUC